AUCUAUGGCCACACAACCCUGAAUGUUCCUGAUCUCUUCUGAUCUCAGAAGCCAGGCAAGGUUGGGCCUGGCUAGUAUUUGGAUGAGAGACACCUGUUUCAAAUCUCCUUGCUGCUGUGUCAGAUC
rnacentral:rRNA from 1 species